UACGGAGGGGGCUAGCGUUGUUCGGAAUCACUGGGCGUAAAGCGCACGCAGGCGGAUCGUUAAGUCAGGGGUGAAAUGCCGAGGCUCAACCUCGGAACUGCCUUUGAUACUGGCGAUCUCGAGUCCGGAAGAGGUAAGUGGAACUCCGAGUGUAGAGGUGAAAUUCGUAGAUAUUCGGAAGAACACCAGUGGCGAAGGCGGCUUACUGGUCCGGUACUGACGCUGAGGUGCGAAAGCGUGGGGAGCAAACAGG
rnacentral:rRNA from 1 species